AGGACGAACGCUGGCGGCGUGCUUAACACAUGCAAGUCGAGCGGUAAGGCCUUUCGGGGUACACGAGCGGCGAACGGGUGAGUAACACGUGGGUGAUCUGCCCUGCACUUCGGGAUAAGCCUGGGAAACUGGGUCUAAUACCGGAUAUGACCUCCGAUCGCAUGGUUGGUGGUGGAAAGAUUUAUCGGUGCAGGAUGGGCCCGCGGCCUAUCAGCUUGUUGGUGGGGUAAUGGCCUACCAAGGCGACGACGGGUAGCCGACCUGAGAGGGUGACCGGCCACACUGGGACUGAGACACGGCCCAGACUCCUACGGGAGGCAGCAGUGGGAAUAUUGCACAAUGGGCGAAAGCCUGAUGCAGCGACGCCGCGUGAGGAUGACGGCCUUCGGGUUGUAAACCUCUUUCGAGCGAGGACGAAGCGCAAGUGACGUACUGCAGAAGAAGCGACCGGCUAACUACGUGCCAGCAGCCGAC
rnacentral:rRNA from 1 species